UAUUGAGAUACAUGGUGCCCACGGCUACCUAAUAGACCAGUUCCUGAAGGACGGUAUUAACGACCGGUCUGACACCUACGGCGGCGCAUUAUCGAACCGGGUCCGAUUUCUUAUUGAAGUCGUCCGGUCGGUGUCAGCGGCUAUCGGACCGGGUCGAGUUGCUGUCCGGGUCUCACCGGCCAUCGACCACCUCGAUGCCUAUGACUCAGACCCGGCAGGCUUAGGACGGGCUGUAAUAGAGCAGCUGAAUGCCAUCCAGCGCG
rnacentral:misc_RNA from 1 species